rnacentral:rRNA from 1 species
UACAGAGGGGGCAAGCGUUGUUCGGAAUUACUGGGCGUAAAGCGUGCGCAGGCGGUUUUGUAAGUCUGUCGUGAAAUCCCCGGGCUCAACCUGGGAAUUGCGAUGGAGACUGCAGGGCUAGAAUCUGGCAGAGGGGGGUAGAAUUCCACGUGUAGCAGUGAAAUGCGUAGAGAUGUGGAGGAACACCGAUGGCGAAGGCAGCCCCCUGGGUCAAGAUUGACGCUCAUGCACGAAAGCGUGGGGAGCAAACAGG